UACGUAGGGUGCGAGCGUUAAUCGGAAUUACUGGGCGUAAAGUGUGCGCAGGCGGCGUUGCAAGUCGAGUGUGAAAGCCCCGGGCUUAACUUGGGAAUUGCGCUCGAAACUACGAUGCUGGAGUGUGGCAGAGGAAGGUGGAAUUCCACGUGUAGCGGCGAAAUGCGUAGAGAUGUGGAGGAACACCGAUGGCGAAGGCAGCCUUCUGGGCCAACACUGACGCUCAUGCACGAAAGCGUGGGGAGCAAACAGG
rnacentral:rRNA from 1 species